rnacentral:rRNA from 1 species
AGCGAACGCUGGCGGCAGGCCUAAAACAUGCAAGUCGAACGCCGUAGCAAUACGGAGUGGCAGACGGGUGAGUAACGCGUGGGGACGUACCCUUUGGUUCGGAACAACACAGGGAAACUUGUGCUAAUACCGGAUAAGCCCUUACGGGGAAAGAUUUAUCGCCAAAGGAUCGGCCCGCGUCUGAUUAGCUUGUUGGUGAGGUAACGGCUCACCAAGGCUACGAUCAGUAGCUGGUCUGAGAGGAUGAUCAGCCACACUGGGACUGAGACACGGCCCAGACUCCUACGGGAGGCAGCAGUUAGGAAUCUUGGACAAUGGGCGCAAGCCUGAUCCAGCCAUGCCGCGUGAGUGAUGAAGGCCUUAGGGUUGUAAAGCUCUUUCAGCGGGGAAGAUAAUGACGGUACCCGCAGAAGAAGCCCCGGCUAACUUCGUGCCAGCAGCCGCGGUAAC